CUGGUAUUUACAAAGGCGGUUCUAUUACUGACAGUGCGGUAACCACUGUCACCGUAAUUACCUACCUAAACGCAGCAGGUUAGGAAAUCGUUAGAAUGCCAACCCCCAUCCCCCACUAUAGUCAUUUCCAAGGUAGAAAAGAGCAGCGCUGGGUUUGAUCUCCAAUACAUACACAAAAACACAGGAAAUAGGAGGCUGUAGACUCAUAUUGCUUAUAUUUCAGCAUCACUGGAGAGCUGAUUAGAAAAGGGUCUUAUCCCUGCCUCACACAUACUGAGUCAGGAUCUGCGAGGUUUUUUGUUUGUUUGUUUUUAAGCCGAGUGGGGACGGGUGAACAAGGGCUAUCUGCCACUGCAAACGAACAAACUCCAGAUGCAUGGACCACUUUGUGCAUCUGGCUUUCCCUGGGUACUGGGGAUUUGAACCCUGGGCACCUCCAUUUCUUCAUCUGUAGCAUGAAGGUAUAAUGCCUGCCUGUAGCAGAAUAACAAAAACGGGGCAAUAUGUAAGCUUCGAAGACUUCUCUGAGAGGGCUUUUGUAAGGAGUUGGGUCUGUAGAUUCGCAUCUUUGGAUGCGAAUUCCCUCAAAGAAGACCAGAACUGAUCUGUUAGAGAGCCAGGAAAGUGUUGGAAUCCAUCACUCCAUGUGCUGCUUGAAUUUUCUUCUCACAGUGAGCACUGUGAACAUGUGGAAUUUUUUUUUUGGUCUGCUCUGGAUUCCCAAGCAAAUACUUUCUACUACUUGCUGAUGUCUUGGAGAAUCAAGCUUGACAGCCAGACCCCAGUGAAAGAUGGGUGGCUGCUUGGGGUCUUCACUCUACUGGAUAUGGGGAAGAUAAGCAUGGACACUUCCCAGCACACAGCUGAGCCUUUGGAGAUGUAGAGCUGGAGGAAGGUGGUGGCUGAGCCUGCCAAUGCCAGCAAUAGGAGGAAAAGAAGGCCAGACAGAUCAGGGAGCUUUGAGAUGGAUGCACCAGCCUGUGCAGGGCUCGGAUUCUGUUCCCAGACCAGCAUGAACACUGAAGCUAUCCAGAAGCCAGGCUGGGGAUCAGAGGCUCCUUGCACUGAAAUGGUGACUUUUCAUGACGCACACACCCUACAAGAGAUUUUAGUGACAUGUUAAUCUCAGCCAUACAGAUGGAGUAAAUGAAGGCUCACAGCAUCACUUGGAUGCAGCUAAGUCUGCAGAAUUGAGCCACAGUAGCAGAAAACAAUUGAUCAAUUGAUGAUCGCCCACUGGCACCAGGUACCUCCCCUGUUGAUCUCCUUUCAACCAGUUCACCUUUCUGCCCUUGUGUGUUGGAACAUUCAGGUUCCUGGAUACUUAUAUCAUGUAAGCCCUGGCUAUGCACAGGACCACACGCACUCCAUUCACACACCUAGGUCUGCAGCCAGACUUGCUAUAUAUCUCUCACUUAGGCUUUGUUGCCCUUUUUUAAAAUAUAGGUUUGGAGGGCUGGAGAGAUGGCUCAAUGGUUUUAAGACGCUUGUUUGG